AUGUACAAGCAGAAGAAUGCUGACAUGCUGACAAAGAACACUGAUUUUUCUGUCUUUUUCCUCAUGUCUAGGAAGAAAAGAGCUUUGGUGUUUUCUUUCCACUUUCCCACAGUGGAGCCUUGGGAAGACUGUCAUUCUGGGUUUGGAGAGCAGUGCAAUGCACAGCAUUAUCCCCUGCACAAAACAUGCCCAAGGGGCAUUUUGCUUCCUUGCAGCCAGGUGGGAAUAGCAGGAGCUCCACGUUUCCACUGGCUCAGACUGAGAAGCAGAGAACUGAAAGGCAGAGAACAAGCCUCUGGCCUCCCUGCAUAUGACCUAGAAAGGAGCAAUGCCCCUGAGCAAGCCCAUUUGUUUGAGCAAUCUAAUGGUUUGUUAGGACACCUGGCUUCUCCCAGGGAAACUGGGAGGGUCCGGCAUGAAUAAACAAGCUGGAUGAUCUGCAGCCUCACUGAGAGCAGGCUCCCAGCUCUUCACUCUCCAGUUCACUGGACAGAGAGGGCUGCUGCACAGAGCUCACGUUUAGCUACUGCUCGUGGGCUGCUUGCCCGCACUGGUGCCUAAGAGGCUCUCGGUGCAGCAGUGCCUUCAUGGCUUCACAUGCUGGGCUGGUGACUGGAGGUUAUGCUCACAUGGAUGUAACAGAAGAUCCAUGAUUUUUCAGUCCCCACAGUUCCCACCGUAUCCCCUGGGCACAAAGUCAGCUAUCUCCACCCCUUUGACUCCAGAAAACUUGAUCAGCAGAAGGAGGAUUUUCUAGGAAUGUCCCCAGGCAUGUAGGGUGGAUGCAAGUCUCCAAGACCAGCUGCAGCUGAUGGCAGAGGCAGGGAAAUGGACUUCCACAAGCGCAGGGCUAAGGCCAUGGGCCGAGCACCCUGACAAGCAAGAAAAUGAGGUCUGGAGAUCUGUGGUUGCUGGAGGUGGAGCUUUGACAGGAAUCCCAGCUUGUAUUGCUGCUCCUGAAGGGCUGGCUGCAGGGAAGGAGAAAUGCAGGCAGAGGAGACAGUUCCUCUAGCAUGCCUGGUCUUCGGGAGUGGGCUGGGGCGGCUGAUUGCUCACCUGCUGGCCAUCAAGGACUCUCUGGGGUGGAAAGUGAUGCAGCUGGAGGUUGUGCAUCUGUGUAAAUUUUACGAAUUCAUCUCAUGACUCCUACAUGUUAUCCUUAUCCAGUGUGGGAAUGCGAGUUACAUUUUGAGUAAUCAUCCAGGGCCUGACACCAGUGUUGUUAUGAAAAAUCAGCGUAUGGUUCAAAAACUGACCUCUGUAAUAAAUGGUUUCCUACUUUUCA
rnacentral:lncRNA from 1 species